rnacentral:rRNA from 1 species
AUGUUCAUAAAGUCGCUGCUUCUGCCAGCUUCUGCCUUGCCGCCGCCACAGCCGCCCAUCGUCACUUGUCAGCAAGGUGCACACACGUACCCAACAUCCAUCCAUCCCCAGGGGAGAUCGGCAUGUGAACAACCACGACCAUUUCUCUUGGCCAGCACAAGCAGUGCCAUCGGCAGUCAAGACAAGCAGCCAACAACUGGAGAAAGUCCUGAAUCUGGUUAA